UGGAGCAGAGUUUGAGUCCAGGCACUCAUUUUUCAUUACACUUUUGGUAAUCCUUUGCAGUUCCCUAUAAAUCUUGUAAGUACUGAUAGAAUAAAAUCUGAAAAGUGCUUAGUAAAGGGCUCUCCUACAUACCUGCAAGUUUUUCUGAAUCAACUAUCACCUUCCAUCAACAGGCAAAGCCAGAAUCACCCAGUUCUGCCAUAUUCUCUGUCUUCCAAUGGAUCUUUCCUCUGAAUUCCAUACCGUGUUAGAAACAUUUUCAGUCACUUGUGUUCAAAACAUCAAUCAUUCCUUCAGGAAUGAUGUUCAUUCCUCCAGGAUCAUUCCUUAGCAUCCAGUCAUUCACUGAGACUUGAGUGAAUUCCACAGUCUCUUGAAAACAACUGAAUACUUUUGGAGAGAGAAAAUUAAGCAAAGUAGGAGCUGGGGUUUUGGCUUAGCAAUGAGCACUCACCUAGCAUAUGCAAGGCACUGGGUUCUAUCCUGAGCACCACAUGAAAAUAAGUAAAUAAAAUAAAGAGAGUUCUUGGAUCUCCAUGACUUGGAGCCCUUAAUAACUCAUCUGUUGUUCUGGUUUAGCAGUUCUCCAGUUUUAUGCACUGCUGUACAGCACUCAGGAUAUGGUAGACACCCAAUAAAUA